rnacentral:misc_RNA from 1 species
UCCUCCUUACGGAGGCAGUUUGUUUCGAGUUCCCGACAUUACUCGCUGGCAACAAAACAUGAGGGUUGCGCUCGUUGCGGGACUUAACCCUACAUUUCACAACACGAGCUGACGGCAGCCAUGCACCACCUGUGUACCACCCUCGAAGGCGGCUCCUUUUGGGGAGAUUGCAGGUACAUGUCAAGCCCUGGUAAGGUUCUUCGCGUUGCAUCGAAUUAAGCCACAUGCUCCACCGCUUGUGCGGGCCCCCGCCAAUUCCUUUGAGUUUCAACCUUGCGACCGUACUCCCCAGGCGGUGUGCUUAACGCGUUAGCUGCGCCACCGAGACACUAAGUGCCCCAACGGCUAGCACACAUCGUUUACGGCGUGGACUAC